rnacentral:rRNA from 1 species
GAUUAACGCUGGCGGCGUGCAUAACACAUGCAAGUCGAACGAUGAAACUUUACUGACUCCUUGGGGGAGAAUCAAAGCGGAUUAGUGGCGAACGGGAGAGUAAUGCGUGAGUAGCAUGACUUACACAAGGGGAUAGUAUUAGGACAUGAAGAAUAAUACCCUAUAAAACCAUUCAAGCAAAUGCAAUCAAGGUCAAAGUGAUAGCGGUGUAAGAGGGACUUGCGGCUGAUUAGCUAGGAGGUGAGAUAAAAGGCCACUAAGGCAACGAUCAGUAGCCGGCUUGAGAGAGUGUACGGCCACAUUGGGACUGGGACACGUCCCAGACUCUGACGGGAGGCAGCAGUGGGGAAUCUUGCACAAUGGGGGUAACCCUGAUGCAGCGGCGCCGCGUGAUUUAGAAGGCCGUCAGGUUGUAAAAUUCUUUUAUAUAGGAAUAAAAUGACAUUACUAUACGAAUAAGGACCGGCUAAUUACGUG